AGUGGCGGACGGGUGAGUUACGCGUAAGAAUCUAACUUCAGGACGGGGACAACAGUGGGAAACGACUGCUAAUACCCGAUGUGCCGCGAGGUGAAACCUAAUUGGCCUGAAGAAGAGCUUGCGUCUGAUUAGCUAGUUGGUGGGGUAAGAGCCUACCAAGGCGACGAUCAGUAGCUGGUCUGAGAGGAUGAGCAGCCACACUGGGACUGAGACACGGCCCAGACUCCUACGGGAGGCAGCAGUGGGGAAUUUUCCGCAAUGGGCGAAAGCCUGACGGAGCAACGCCGCGUGAGGGAGGAAGGUCUUUGGAUUGUAAACCUCUUUUCUCAAGGAAGAAGUUCUGACGGUACUUGAGGAAUCAGCCUCGGCUAACUCCGUGCCAGCAGCCGCGGUAAUACGGGGGAGGCAAGCGUUAUCCGGAAUUAUUGGGCGUAAAGCGUCCGCAGGUGGUCAGCCAAGUCUGCCGUCAAAUCAGGUUGCUUAACGACCUAAAGGCGGUGGAAACUGGCAGACUAGAGAGCAGUAGGGGUAGCAGGAAUUCCCAGUGUAGCGGUGAAAUGCGUAGAGAUUGGGAAGAACAUCGGUGGCGAAAGCGUGCUACUGGGCUGUAUCUGACACUCAGGAACGAAAGCUAGGGGAGCGAAAGGGAUUAGAUACCCCUGUAGUCCUAGCCGUAAACGAUGGAUACUAGGCGUGGCUU
rnacentral:rRNA from 1 species